rnacentral:rRNA from 1 species
UACGUAGGAGGCGAGCGUUGUCCGGAUUUACUGGGCGUAAAGCGCGCGCAGGCGGCACUUCAAGUAAGGUGUGAAAUCUCCCUGCUCAACGGGGAGGGUGCACUUUAGACUGAGGAGCUAGAGGACGGUAGAGGGGGGUGGAAUUGCUGGUGUAGCGGUGAAAUGCGUAGAGAUCAGGAAGAACACCAAUGGCGAAGGCAGCUCUCUGGGACGGUACUGACGCUGAGACGCGAAAGCGUGGGGAGCGAACAGG